UACCGAGUGAGGGCCCUCUGGGUCCACCUCCCACCCGUGUCUAUCGUACCUUGUUGCUUCGGCGGGCCCGCCGUUUCGACGGCCGCCGGGGAGGCCUUGCGCCCCCGGGCCCGCGCCCGCCGAAGACCCCAACAUGAACGCUGUUCUGAAAGUAUGCAGUCUGAGUUGAUUAUCGUAAUCAGUUAAAACUUUCAACAACGGAUCUCUUGGUUCCGGCAUCGAUGAAGAACGCAGCGAAAUGCGAUAAGUAAUGUGAAUUGCAGAAUUCAGUGAAUCAUCGAGUCUUUGAACGCACAUUGCGCCCCCUGGUAUUCCGGGGGGCAUGCCUGUCCGAGCGUCAUUGCUGCCCUCAAGCACGGCUUGUGUGUUGGGCCCCCGUCCCCCUCUCCCGGGGGACGGGCCCGAAAGGCAGCGGCGGCACCGCGUCCGGUCCUCGAGCGUAUGGGGCUUUGUCACCUGCUCUGUAGGCCCGGCCGGCGCCAGCCGACACCCAACUUUAUUUUUCUAAGGUUGACCUCGGAUCAGGUAGGGAUACCCGCUGAACUUAAGCAUAUC
rnacentral:rRNA from 1 species